GACAGAGGGUGCAAACGUUGUUCGGAAUUACUGGGUGUAAAGCGCGCGUAGGCGGCUCGGAAAGUCGGGCGUGAAAUGCCGGGGCUCAACCCCGGGACUGCGUCCGAUACUUCCGAGCUGGAGGUAGGUAGGGGAGAUCGGAAUCCCUGGUGUAGCGGUGAAAUGCGCAGAUAUCAGGAGGAACACCGGUGGCGAAGGCGGAUCUCUGGGCCUUACCUGACGCUGAGGCGCGAAAGCUAGGGGAGCGAACAGG
rnacentral:rRNA from 1 species